rnacentral:lncRNA from 1 species
GACAGAAGAAAGAAGAAGAUAACUCCCCCUCUCCAUUAUUUUUCAUAAUAUCCAAACUGUUACAAUUACAAACCCUUCAAGACCAGAGAGAGAGAGAGGAAGAGAGAGAGAGUUGUUUCCUCAUCUCAUCUACAAAAACACACACAAAUUCCCUAGAUAAACACACACACAAAACCUGCAUAUGCAAAAUUUGACGUUUUGUGUUUAGCUAAUAACUGAUCCGAACAACGAACCACCGCCAAUCAAGAAAGAAGGUACCGAGCGACCAAAGAAAACAAGGUGAUGUAAUAUUUAAAAGAGUUUGAUGGAUCAAAAGAUGAUUUUGCUCGUGACAAUUUAUGGAUUUUAUUUUCGGAUUCGGUAUGUUUAUUCUCUCAAUUUUAUAGUUUUUCAAAAUAUCUCUGUCUCUUUGAAAAGGUACACUUCUUUCAUCUUCUUUUGAUUAUAUUGUUAUGAUCCAAAAUAAAUGCUUGUUAUGUGAAGCUUGUUCUUUUUGUUUUGUAUAUCUUAUGAAUUACGAUAACAUAUCUACAUCAUAGAAAUCAUUUUAUGCUUUUCCUCUUCUAAUUUUAAGGUUGUAUAGAAUUUUGAGUUGAUUGAAAUCAUGGAUUCGUAUCUGUUUUAGAAUUUUGUUUGAUUAGUUUUGUAGAUCAAGUCGAGUUAUGUAUCCAUUUUUUCCCCGUUUUUCUGACAUGUUUUAUCUUAGCCGGAUUUGUGAUGGUUGACCGGAAUAUCGAUUUGAAAUUAGGUCUGUUACAGAUUCUCGAUAUAAAUUUUCGAUAGGUGUUCUUGAUUGUAUGUGUUUGUUAAGUGUGUGAUUUGAUCUUCUAGAUUAAUCUUUUUAGUUUUUUAACAUGUUUUUAGGUGCAUGUAAUAUUGUUGAGUGUUUCGAUAUCAAUUUAUUUUGAAUUAUGGCGUUGCUUUUAUAUAUUAUAUUUGUUUGUAUAUUUAUGUGCAAAUUUUUUAAAAUGCAAGUAUUCAAUUUUUUCGGUUAAUUUUGGAAAGGAAUAUAUCUUGAUAAAUAUUCUUUAUGAAUAUUUAAUAACAUUUAUGAUGGUCUUUAUUUAUCUUCUUAAGGUUUAAAUUUUAAAUUUUAUGAAUUCAUAAUUUAUCAUGAUUGUUUGAUUUUUAGGCAAUAAUUUAAUUUUAAUUAGUGUGUGGUUGCCCCUGCGGGGCCAUUGGAUUAGAUUGAUCCAAGGGCUUAUAUUGAGUUUGUAGUUUGUACACUAACUUAGUUUGUAUUUGAGCACUUCCCGGUCUUACUCUGGUACAAACCUUCUUAGCGUACAAACUACAAACCAAAAUUAAAAUGUCUCUAAAUCAAAUCGGAAUAUAGCACAUAUUGUAUGGAAAUUAAUCGUUGCGAGAUGAACAAAAAUACAGUGAAAUCGGAUUUCAAAAAAAGUUCACCGAUUGAUGGGAAAAUUCAAAUUAAAAACGGAGGGGAUUCUGUGGAUCAUGUGUGGCAGGGUGCAUAUUAACUGGUGUGUGGUUGCCCCUGCGGGGCCAUUGGAUUAGAUUCAUCCAAAGGCUUAUAUUAAGUUUGUAGUUUGUACACUAACUUAGUUUGUAUUUGAGCACUUCCCUAUAUAUAUAUAUUUCCUCUCUAUUUUUUUAUAUAUAAACUCUUUUGUUUUUGUUUUUAUUAGAUUUUCUUGUAUAUUAAUUUAUAUUUUGUUUGAUUGUUUUUUCUCAGGAUACUAUGGAAGCGAGCUGUAUGGGUAUUCUUUUCUCAUUCAUUUAAGCUUUAUUGUCUAAACGUCCGGAGUUAUGCUUGCAUGGCUUUCGGUU